GGGGAUCGAUGCCGCGAAGGCGAGCGAGGCCGUGAAGGUCCUGGUGGGAGAGGGAGAAGGAAGGGCUCGCCGUGGCGACCGUCAGGGCCGGGGUCAAGUGCUUGGGGAUUUUGGUUGGCUGCGAUUUGGAGGAUUGGAAUUCGGUGAAAUUAGGGAUCGAGACGCUCAUAAAGUUCUUCGUCGAUAAUCGUCCCAAGAACACACAUUUCUGCCUCAAAUACUUUGAGAGAGUACUUUGAGGUCUUUAAGAGUACUCAUUAGAGUGAAUCACGUGGAUGGACAACUGAGAGAGCAAAUAAAGAUUAUGAACAAAUGAUCAAGACUCGCGAUGCUCGUUUAAGUGAACUACCAGAGGGGGAUUUAGAACUUGACUAUGAUGCCGAGGAAGAAAUUUACUCAAGUUUUGUCAAGUGAGAGGUAUGAAAAAUAUGGUUUCAAACGUGGUAUAGGUCUUGUAUCAAGACAAGCAUCACAAGUUCACAAAUUUGGAGGGUCAGGAUAUAUGAAAGCCUUCAAAAUGAAAAGUUUAGGAUCACAAACGUCAUAUAUCGGACAUGGAAAUUCUAAUGAAGCAAUAACAGAAGUUUAUUCAAAAACUACUUAAGCAGAUCAUCUUGGAUCUUCCGUCCCAAGAAGAGAAGAUCCUCCGCCACCGCCACCGCCACCACCGGCCUCAGUUUGUUAGAGCGUUUAAUUCUUGUAAUAUUAAGAUUUUACUAGUACAAUAU